CCUACGGGAGGCAGCAGUGGGGAAUCUUGGACAAUGGGGGAAACCCUGAUCCAGCCAUGCCGCGUGAGCGAUGAAGGCCUUAGGGUUGUAAAGCUCUUUCGUGGGGGAAGAUAAUGACUGUACCCCAAGAAGAAGCCCCGGCUAACUCCGUGC
rnacentral:rRNA from 1 species